GGAAUAUUGCACAAUGGGCGCAAGCCUGAUGCAGCCAUGCCGCGUGUGUGAAGAAGGCCUUCGGGUUGUAAAGCACUUUCAGUCGUGAGGAAGGUANANGCGUUAAUAGCGGCNUGAUUUGACGUUAGCGACAGAAGAAGCACCGGCUAACUCCGUGCCAGCAGCCGCGGUAAUACGGAGGGUGCGAGCGUUAAUCGGAAUUACUGGGCGUAAAGCGCAUGCAGGUGGUUUGUUAAGUCAGAUGUGAAAGCCCGGGGCUCAACCUCGGAAUAGCAUUUGAAACUGGCAGACUAGAGUACUGUAGAGGGGGGUAGAAUUUCAGGUGUAGCGGUGAAAUGCGUAGAGAUCUGAAGGAAUACCGGUGGCGAAGGCGGCCCCCUGGACAGAUACUGACACUCAGAUGCGAAAGCGUGGGGAGCAAACAGGAUUAGAUACCCUGGUAGUCCACGCCGUAAACGAUGUCUACUUGGAGGUUGUGGCCUUGAGCCGUGGCUUUCGGAGCUAACGCGUUAAGUA
rnacentral:rRNA from 1 species